UUAAUGGUUAAUAAAGUAUCGUAUUCAACUUUUUGGUAGUUGAGAUUUUUUAAUAAG
rnacentral:tRNA from 1 species